rnacentral:lncRNA from 1 species
GUUGCUUUUUCUUCUUUACUUUCACAGAACAAAACAACAAGAACAAUUCUUUCUUUUCUUUUUUCUUUAAUCGAUCAAGUAACAAGCAAGUGGCAACCUUCACAAGCUUCCCAUUAGGGUUCUGACCGGUGGCUGUUCGGGGUUUAGGAGGAUGUCGACGGUGGUUCUCACAGGUUGUAGAUGUUUUUCCAGAUCCGAUUGAAUAACAGCACACAGGUUGUUGAGGGCUUCGCCGUCUGUUUAGAGCUUCGCCGGAACUGAGUGAAGAUCUGAACUGAACGGAUUGAAUAACUGAUUCGCCGGAGUUUUAGGGUUUUGUGCGGCGGCGGCGCUACUGAUUUGCUAUCGCCGGAACUGUUGUUGUUUGAUUUGAUUUUUGGUUUGGGUUUGUUGGUUUGAGAUUGAACAGGCUAGGAUAAAUUGUAGGUGAUGAGCAAUUCGGUUUCAAGAAUCAGAAACCUGCUCU